rnacentral:rRNA from 1 species
UGCAGUCGACGGCAGCACGGACUUCGGUCUGGUGGCGAGUGGCGAACGGGUGAGUAAUGUAUCGGAACGUGCCUAGUAGCGGGGGAUAACUACGCGAAAGCGUGGCUAAUACCGCAUACGCCCUACGGGGGAAAGCAGGGGACCGCAAGGCCUGCGCGGACGGGAGCGGCCGAUGGCAGAUUAGGUAGUUGGUGGGAUAAAAGCUUACCAAGCCGACGAUCUGUAGCUGGUCUGAGAGGACGACCAGCCACACUGGGACUGAGACACGGCCCAGACUCCUACAGGAGGCAGCAGUGGGGAAUUUUGGACAAUGGGCGAAAGCCUGAUCCAGCCAUGCCGCGUGCAGGAUGAAGGCCUUCGGGUUGUAAACUGCUUUUGUACGGAACGAAAAGACUCCUUCUAAUAAAGGGGGUCCAUGACGGUACCGUAAGAAUAAGCACCGGCUAACUACGUGCCAGCAGCCGCGGUAAUACGUAGGGUGCAAGCGUUAAUCGGAAUUACUGGGCGUAAAGCGUGCGCAGGCGGUUCGGAAAGAAAGAUGUGAAAUCCCAGAGCUUAACUUUGGAACUGCAUUUUUAACUACCGAGCUAGAGUGUGUCAGAGGGAGGUGGAAUUCCGCGUGUAGCAGUGAAAUGCGUAGAUAUGC